AAACUCAAAGGAAUUUGACGGGGACCCGCACAAGCGGUGGAGCAUGUGGUUUAAUUCGAAGCAACGCGAAGAACCUUACCAAGUCUUGACAUCGGAAUGACCGUCCCGUAACGGGGGCUUCCCUUCGGGGCAUUCCAGACAGGUGGUGCAUGGUUGUCGUCAGCUCGUGUCGUGAGAUGUUGGGUUAAGUCCCGCAACGAGCGCAACCCUUAUCCUUAGUAGCCAGCAGGUAAAGCUGGGCACUCUGGGGAGACUGCCAGGGAUAACCUGGAGGAAGGUGGGGAUGACGUCAAAUCAUCAUGCCCCUUAUGAUUUGGGCUACACACGUGCUACAAUGGCGUAAACAAAGGGAAGCUAAGCCGCAAGGUGGAGCAAAUCCCAAAAAUAACGUCUCAGUUCGGAUUGUAGUCUGCAACUCGACUACAUGAAGCUGGAAUCGCUAGUAAUCGCAGAUCAGAAUGCUGCGGUGAAUACGUUCCCGGGUCUUGUACACACCGCCCGUCACACCAUGGGAGUUGGUAACGCCCGAAGUCAGUGACCCAACCGCAAGGAGGGAGCUGCCGAAGGCGGGACUGAUAACUGGGGUGAAGUCGUAACAAGGUAGCCGUAUCGGAAGGUGCGGCUGGAUCACCUCCUUUAUG
rnacentral:rRNA from 1 species